rnacentral:lncRNA from 7 species
ACAUGGGAACUUUUCCUGCUUCGUUAGAGUAUCUUCGUUUGCUUUAUUGGAUGCCGGCACUGAACGCCACUGCACAGCUUCGUGGAAUGCCUGCUGUUGGAUGCUUGCAGAUCCCUGCCACCAAGCAACCUCCUGCAUUGGAAAUCGGGUGACUACUCCAGGAUCUUAUGCGUGCUUGCUGUUUGAAGCUGCAGAAAAGUGAAUAAUCAAUUAAGUAUUGAUUUCUUGUAAGAUUUGGUAAAUUUCAAAGGGAAGACAAAGAGGAUGGCUUAAGGAAAGCACUGCAGGGACUUGGCGUAAAUUAGAAAACUAACAGCAGUGCAGAAUAAAAUAACACCUCAACUGAAUAUUUCCUUGGAAGAAUUAGCACCAGCUAUUGGAAGACGAUGGUGGAUUUAAUCAAGACGGCAGGCAUGCUUGAGUUUUAACCGUGAACCUGAAAGUGGAGCUAAUUAUAACCACCUUUUUAUAUGGAGCUAAUUUGACUGAAUGGAUGCAAAUGUGCUUUAUUUAUGGAUGAAGAAGCAAGCUUUACAGCGUUGACUUUGGGAUCAUCGCAUAUGCUAAGCUUUACAGCUUGCCUAAAAGUCAAGCCUACAGUACAUUUUUAUUUACCGAGAAGGAACCAAGUUACAUUAAGCUUCAACACAAAGACGAUGUAAGAAUAAUGAAUCCUCAUUUGCAUCGACAUUUGUAUUCAGAUUUGCCAGGCUAUAAACUUGGCAGAUCAAGCGGAAUAUUAAGUAGAGGCUUCCAUGGUAAAUUGCGACUCUUGCAAUUGCCGAGUCGUUUUUUCCUAUUAUUUCUGUGCCUGUGUGCAUGUGUGUGUGUGUGUGUGUCUGUGUGUAUUUGUGUGUACAUGUGUAUAUAUGUGCAUGUAUGUGCAUAUCUGUAGAGGCAGGUAUUCUCUCAUGAGUACAUGAUUUCUGAGAAGCACGUUGGCCCUCUUUCUCUUGCAGUACCUGAUAUUGGUUUGAAGCAAAAUGAAGCAGGGAUUUGCUAGCAAUAAGCAUGUUAGCUGAAGAUAUAUUGUGACUUAUAAAUAAAGUAUGAACUCCUG